CCUACGGGAGGCAGCAGUGGGGAAUAUUGCACAAUGGGGGAAACCCUGAUGCAGCGACGCCGCGUGAGUGAAGAAGUAUUUCGGUACGUAAAGCUCUAUCAGCAGGGAAGAAAAUGACGGUACCUGACUAAGAAGCCCCGGCUAACUACGUGCCAGCAGCCGCGGUAAUACGUAGGGGGCAAGCGUUAUCCGGAUUUACUGGGUGUAAAGGGAGCGUAGACGGCAGCGCAAGUCUGGAGUGAAAUCCCAUGGCUUAACCAUGGAACUGCUUUGGAAACUGUGCAGCUAGAGUGCAGGAGAGGUAAGCGGAAUGCCUAGUGUAGCGGUGAAAUGCGUAGAUAUUAGGAGGAACACCAGGGGCGAAGGCGGCUUACUGGACUGUAACUGACGUUGAGGCUCGAAAGCGUGGGGAGCAAACAGGAUUAGAUACCCGAGUAGUC
rnacentral:rRNA from 1 species